ensembl:ncRNA Y51A2D.24 ncRNA
GGCUUAGGCUUAAACUUAGGCUUAGGCUUACGCUUAGGCUUACGCUUAGGCUUACGCUUAGGCUUACGCUUAGGUUUAGGCUUAGGCUUAGGCUUAGGCUUAGUCUUAGGCUUAGGCUUAGGCUUAGGCUUAGGCUUAAACUUAGGC